rnacentral:rRNA from 1 species
AUUGAACGCUGGCGGCAUGCUUUACACAUGCAAGUCGAACGGUAACAGGGUGCUUGCACCGCUGACGAGUGGCGAACGGGUGAGUAAUGCGUCGGAACGUGCCGAGUAGUGGGGGAUAACGCAGCGAAAGUUGUGCUAAUACCGCAUACGUACUGAGGUAGAAAGUGGGGGACCUUCGGGCCUCACGCUAUUCGAGCGGCCGACGUCUGAUUAGCUAGUAGGUGAGGUAAAGGCUCACCUAGGCGACGAUCAGUAGCGGGUCUGAGAGGAUGAGCCGCCACACUGGGACUGAGACACGGCCCAGACUCCUACGGGAGGCAGCAGUGGGGAAUUUUGGACAAUGGGCGAAAGCCUGAUCCAGCCAUGCCGCGUGUCUGAAGAAGGCCUUCGGGUUGUAAAGGACUUUUGUCAGGGAGGAAAUCCCUAGCGUUAAUACCGCUGGGGGAUGACAGUACCUAAAGAAUAAGCACCGGCUAACUACGUGCCAGCAGCCGCCGUAACAC